rnacentral:misc_RNA from 1 species
GUGGAGAACGAUGCCAUUUCUCCUAGUAUGAAACUUCUCAAGAACGAUCGAUCAAGGACAGAAAGGGUUUUCUCAAGAUCUCUGGUUGAAUAUUUUUCAGUUUCUCAUAGAUUUAUCAUUGUUCCUCAAGGACAGAAAGGGUUUUGUUUGAAUCUGGGAUUAUUAGGAAAUAAGGCAACAAAAGUUUUCUUUGCGUCGGUUUCGUUUUUGCGUGUGAAAUACCUGCUCCAACAAUUUUAGCGUCGGUUUAGUUUAUGCGCCACAUCGAUUUGGCGGUGGAGGAUCCAAGUAAUAGUGCCUAAGAUUUGAACUUGGAAUCUUAAGCGUGCUUGUGCUCGGCUAUCCUUAAGCUAGGGUUGACACAAAUACGAGGGUGCAUGCUGUUUAUUCGAUCACUUGUGUGCAAAUGGAGUAUUCUCAUUGGACUCGUGAUAUGUAAGAAGAUGUAAUUCCACUUUGUAGCCCCCUAGGCCAGGGGUUCUGUUGUGGGAAGGAAAUCACAGAAAGCUUGCCUGCGGAAAGUCAGAUGGAUCUUGCUGCUUUAGAGUAUUUUUCAUAUGUAGAUCUUCCACCACACUAUAUGGAUUCUUUCAAGUCGUAUGACCCAGUAGGAGGUGAGCAUUUCAACGCUUUUGCGGCUGGUCUAAUACAACAGACCGUGUAGUUACAGUUAGUCAUGGAUAUCCAUGGGAAUCUAAGACUUCG